CGGGGCGUAGCGCAGCUUGGUAGCGCGCCACUUUGGGGUAGUGGAGGUCGUGGGUUCGAAUCCCGCCGCUCCGAUCA
rnacentral:tRNA from 1 species